rnacentral:rRNA from 1 species
GACGAACGCUGGCGGCGUGCUUAAUACAUGCAAGUCGAACGGAAAGGCCCCUUUGGGGGUACUCGAGUGGCGAACGGGUGAGUAACACGUGAGUAACCUGCCCUUGACUUCGGGACAACUUUAGGUAACUGGGGCUAAUACCGGUUAGGAAUCCUUUCUGCAUGGUGGGGGUUGGAAAGCUUCGGGCGUUUUGGAUGGCCUUGCGGCUUAUCAGCUUGCUGGUGGGGUUGUGGGUUACCGAGGCUUUGACGCGUAGCCGGCCUGAGAGGGCGACCGGCCACAUUGAGACUGAGAGACGGCCGAGGCUCCUACGGGAGGGAGCAGUGGGGAAGAUUGCACAAGGAGCGGAGGCCUGAUGCAGCAGCGCCGCGUGCGGGAUGACGGCGUUCGGGUUGUAGACCGCUUUCAGCAGGGGCGAAGCUUGUGGUGACGGUACCUGCAGAAGAAGCACCGGCUAACUACGUG